GCAGGGACCUUUUCACAUUGAAGAGGCGGGGCAAUGGAUUCAAAUGAGCAUCACUCACUUACGGCUUGUCACUCACCCUUGCUAGGCCAAAGCCAUUUAUAAUUGCUGUCAUCUAAACUGCACUGAAACGAACUGGACAUUCAAAGAGCGCAGCUCCCAAGAAACAAGGCAGGCCUUUCAGUGAUGUCCCUGCUGGGGCCACCAGCACAAAGGAGUGUUGUACCUAUAAUGUCAUCGGAGCCCUUGAAGGAAGAUCUAAGCACUGUCUUUGUCUUUAUAGGAAAUUUGGCCCCCACAUGUAAAUGUGCGAAACCGAAACUGCCUUUCAUUUAGGCCAAGGUCAUUACUGAGGAAACAGCAGACAGAAUUUUGGCAAAAUAUCAAAUAUUUUCAAUAAUUCAACCAUUUGAAAAAGAAUACUGCUUGUUUCGGAAUAUAAAUGAGAGUGAGUAGUAGAAAUAAGAAAUCCAAGCUAGGGACCAAAGAAAACUAAGCUAAGGACUCUCACAGAUAUGAUAAAUGGGCAUGCACAAAGAUGUUCAUAGAAGUAUUAUUAAGAAUUGGAAAUAACCUACUAUCUAGCAAUAAUGAAUUUAAAAAGAUAAACUGUGGCAUAUACAUAUUAUGAAGCUAUUAAAGACAAUAGUUUUAGAAAAGAGAAAUAAAACUAAAGAUACAGAAAAAACCUUUGCAGAUUUAAGUAAAAUAAUAAUAAUAAAGUUAUAGCUAUGGAAAAAUGCAUCCUCAGGAAAAUACACUAAAAAGAAAUACACCAGAAUGUUAUGGUUGUGAUAGGACAGCAGUAUUAUGGGCGAAAUAUGUUUUCUCUUUUAUUCCGAUUGGUAGAGAAUUGGAUAUUGUAUUGAUUUAGAAACAAACAAACAAAAAGUAGGCAGAAAUAAGCCCUAAGAAGCCCUUUUUGGUGCAUGAGAACAUCAUUCAAAAAGAAGCUGUACAAUUUCUCCCUAGAUUUUUAUUAGAACUUAACAUCACAGUUCUCCAAUAUUUAGGUGGUAAAUUGGGAAUAAAAAGGCCCGGUGGGCUCUUUCUAGCCCAAAGGAGGUACUCUGCUCCCAGCAGCAAUGUCCCAGCGCCUUUUCCCACUCACCUUCAAAACAUCGUGUGCCUGUUUGCUGCAAUUUCCACAGAGAACAUGACAUAAAAUUUGGAGACUCUAGACAAUGCCUGAUGCUCAAUGACAUCAAAAACAUCUGGACUCAAAGAGAAAAAAUAGUUGAUUUUUCUGCCUUUAUUUUAUAACUUUUCUUUCCUCCCAAAAACCUACUUUCUCUUGUACACUGGAUAUAUGCAUAGUUCAUCUGCAGGUUUACUCCUAGUUAGUUUUCUCUUUUUUUGAAGACCAAGAGUUGUCCAAGGUAUCCAUAUCCCAGCUCAUAGUCCCAAACUGAAAGGUUAUAUCAGGUCAGGAUGUAAGUCGCACAUCAGGAAAAUGUCACAUCUGAAUUGAGGAGACCUGGGUGGCUGUUGGCUCACUUAGCACUGUGGCUGGAGAGGCUCUCAGCCCUCUAGACAGCAUCAUGGACCAUGUGUUAGAAAUGAUCAAACUCAGUGGCUUAUUGGAGUGGAAUGGUAGGAAGAGAGGUGUUCAAAGAACACUUCCUAUCAGUUAGUAAAAGCACAUCAAUAAAAAUAAAUCAAUGCCCACUUGUUUUCUAGGAAUCUGCUUCAUAUUCAGCAAAGACUCCCAUUAUGCUGCAUUUCUGAUAGACUAGCAUAGAAAAGAUGUGGUUUCAGCUAGAAUAAAGUAUCUUGAAUAAAAGCAUUACUCUGUCAUUGGAAUCUUCCACUGUGGACCAAAAUGUGAAGCAAAGAUAAACUCAGAUAUAAAAUUUAAAAAUAAGUAACGAGUAAGAGAUAACACAUAAUAGACAUUUGUAAAAAAAAAAAAAAAAA
rnacentral:lncRNA from 1 species